UUCGAAAAUAAUUUUUAUCAUUAAGAAUUUGGUUAAAAUUUAAAUUUAAACUUUGUUCAUAUUUGGAGCAUUUCCUUUGUCAUUGCCCGGCUUUCGCAUUUAACAGUUACCGGCACCUAGCUGAAGACACAAUGCCAGACAUGAACCAACUGAAGGGAGUGGUAUUGAAAACAAUUAAGGAUUUUUUUUUAGAGCGCACAACAAGCCGAUUACUGGUUUAGGUGUAUGUCCAUAGUGGCAUGGGAAGAUUAAUAUUUGGAGAAAAAAUUCAAAAUUCAAUUUCGUAGAUUGUCGCCACUCCUGUGGAUUACCAACAUAAAAGCGUGCUGAGGGUCAGGGAGCAGAGAGCAGCUAUGCAGAAAAGCCGAAAUAGUGCACAGGUUUUGCAGAUAGCAGGCACAUGGGCUAGAACUAGGAAUCUGAAUAUUAACCUAGACGAAAGUCCUAUGGGGAGAAACAGAUUGUGAGAAGACGAGGCUAGUACUGAAAGAUUUAUGUUGCAGAGGCAAACGUGUUGAGAAUGGCGAUAGGUAGAAAUUAGGUGUGGUGUACAGGGAAGUGAUCAACCAAAGUAAGUUCACGGUGAACAUAAGUCCGAAACUCGGCUAAUUUCAAUAUAGUAUAUUGAACUGGGAAAAUAAUAAAGCCUUAAGCCUUUGAUAUCACAGAUCCUACCUCGUAUUUGCUAUUGUAAAAAUAAAACCAUCAUUGGAAAAAUAGAGUUGUAAACAGUGUACCACUACCAACACCCCACCAUCAGUUAUUUUCUCCACCCCAUACGGUCUUGCAGUCGGGGCAAAGAAACUACGAAGUCAACCACUCACACCUAUUUAUGGAAUUAAUUGAACUGCAACUGAAACUAUCUGUGUUAAACACAAACUAAUGAACGCCUAAAGUAAACACAAUCUCACUAAACACACUCGCACUUACAAUAACGCCCCCAAGUUCAGUCAUGUGGUUGGAAAAGAGGCCAAAGGAUCAUUAGGAAUAGAUUUUCACACAUAAUUCAUUUGAAGAAAAUGCCCCUCACUUUACUGCAACACCACAGUAAUUGAGGCAUGAAAAGUCAACAUAACUAAAAGACAAUCCCAAAAACCCAAUCGAUUAACUUCAUAUCAAAGAAACCAUGGUGUGGCAGGAAAAAGGGAUAAACAAUGGUCAACAAGGAUUUCACACACACACACACACGCACGAGCACAUAUACGACUACAUAUGUAUGCCCAUAUGCAUUCAUACUAGCCCAAUGUUAUUAAUAUCAAUGAAUUGUUGAAAUAACUCAUCUGCACACAAAUGCUAGAAAUACCUUAGCCUUUGUCAUGGACAAGGGAAGUGGGAGGAGGCGUAUAGCAUGAUAGCCCCAAGAAGAAGGGCAGCAAGAGAUUACAUCAAGUCUUUUGCAACAGCAACACCUUAGAAAUCAUUACGAAAUAGAUGUGAUAACAUCAAUGUUGAUAUUCUGCCAGGACCAACCUA